GGUCUGCUCUCUCUCUCCUUCUGAAUGAGCUGCAGAGGGCUUCUGAGCUGUCCAAUUAAAACGACUCUCUGACAAAAAUAGGAUGAGAGGGAGCUGCUGGAAAAACAAAACAAUUCAGCACAGCCUAUCCCUUCUCAGGGGCUCCUAUGGAAGUUCCAGCUUGAGAGCUGCGUUGGGUAUUUCUGCCAUUGGAACCCACAGCAGGCAGUGACCUCCGGGCGCUGGCUGGGAGUGUAUGACAGUGAGUGAGAGCAGGCUUGCAGGCACCGUCAUGUCUCCCCUAAAGGCUGAUUUUGCUGCAGCCCUAAGAGCAGCAAUAAGAAUCUGAGUGUGGGAAAGAGCAGAGCAGAUGUUGGCACAUGCAGCGCCAGCAGCCAGCCAAGCCCGUGGGAGGCCGUGCAGUAAACAACACUUCAGGCCCUGAGACUACAAAAAGGGAGGAUGGGUUUGUUCUUCAGCUCACAGGUCUGAGUCCAACUCCAGGUCCCUGCAGCCUGGUGCUGGCACAGCUCUGCGGUCAUGGGAAGCCCUCAUUGGGAAGGGCUCUCCUGUCUGCUUGCUGCUAUCCCAGCUUCACUCCGAGCAGCAUCCUCGUGGCUCAGUGUGAAGACCGGCUGCUGAUGGAAAGGCACGCAGGCAGGCACUGCACUGAGCAGGCAGGGAGUCUCAGUGGUGAUUCAGGGCUUGAAAAGCCUCGCUGAUCACAGCAGUGCUGCUUUAAAGGUUCUUCUCUGUCUCAUAACACAGCUGAUGUGAAGCAUGAGAAGGGCUCUUAGGUCUUCAUCGUGAGCCUGGUUUGUUGGGAUUCCUUCUGACUCAGCACUGCUUUGGCCCUUCCCUGGGCUCUUCAGAUGAGAUCCCAUUGAAAUACACCUAAGGUUUACCAUAAUCCCACAACUCUUCCCCGAUCGGGCUGGAAAAACAAGGGGAGCUCAU
rnacentral:lncRNA from 1 species